rnacentral:rRNA from 1 species
UACGUAGGGGGCAAGCGUUGUCCGGAAUCAUUGGGCGUAAAGCGCGCGUAGGCGGCCCGGUAAGUCCGCUGUAAAAGUCCAGGGCUCAACCCUGGAAAGCCGGUGGAUACUGUCGGGCUAGAGUCCGGAAGAGGCGAGUGGAAUUCCUGGUGUAGCGGUGGAAUGCGCAGAUAUCAGGAGGAGCACCGAUGGCGAAGGCAGCUCGCUGGGACGGUACUGACGCUGAAGCGCGAAAGCGUGGGGAGCGAACAGG